rnacentral:rRNA from 1 species
UAUUAUUUUAAAUGUAAAAUACUAAUACUUGAGUAGUAAGAGUUAUGGUCUUGAAACUCAAAGAAUUUGGCGGUGUUUUAGUCCUUUCAGAGGAACCUGUCCUAUAAUCGAUAUUCCACGUUAGAUCUUACUUAAUUUGGUUAUUCAGUUUGUAUACCGCCGUCGUCAGAAUGUCCUAUAAGGGUAUAAAUUUUCUUUAAUUUAAAUAUUGAAAAGAUGUCAGGUCAAGGUGCAGUUAAUGGUUAAGUAGAGGUGGGUUACAAUAAAUUUAUUUAUUACGGAUAAUUAAUUGGAAUAUUAAUUUGAAGGUGGAUUUGAAAGUAAUUUUAUAUAGUAUAGUAUAUUGAUUUUGGCUCUAAAACAUGCACACAUCGCCCGUCGCUCUCGUUAAUUAAUAU